rnacentral:rRNA from 1 species
CGCGGCCUAUCAGCUUGUUGGUGGGGUAAUGGCCUACCAAGGCGGCGACGGGUAGCCGGCCUGAGAGGGUGUGCGGCCACAUUGGGACUGAGAUACGGCCCAGACUCCUACGGGAGGCAGCAGUGGGGAAUUUUGCACAAUGGGCGGAAGCCUGAUGCAGCGACGCCGUGUGGGGGAUGAAGGCCUUCGGGUUGUAAACUCCUUUCGUCAGGGACGAAGUUUUUUUGACGGUACCUGGAUAAGAAGCACCGGCUAACUACGUGCCAGCAGCCGCGGUAAUACGUAGGGUGCGAGCGUUGUCCGGAUUUACUGGGCGUAAAGGGCUCGUAGGUGGUGUGUCGCGUCGUCUGUGUAAUCCAGGGGCUUAACUUUUGGUUGGCAGGCGAUACGGGCAUUGCUUGAGUGCUGUAGGGGAGACUGGAAUUCCUGGUGUAGCGGUGAAAUGCGCAGAUAUCAGGAGGAACACCGAUGGCGAAGGCAGGUCUCUGGGCAGUUACUGACGCUGAGGAGCGAGAGCAUGGGUAGCGAACAGGAUUAGAUACCCUGGUAGUCUAUGCUGUAAACGGUGGGCGCUAGGUGUGAGUCCCUUCCACGGGGUUUGUGCCGUAGCUAACGCUUUAAGCGCCCCGCCUGGGGAGUACGG